GUUACUGGUCCCCCAUGGCUGGUCCCUGGCCAGUUACUGGUCCCAGUGGCCGGUUACUGGUCCCCCGUGGCUGGUCCCUGGCCAGUUACUGGUCCUCAUGGCCGGUUACUGGUCCCCCGUAGCUGGUCCCUGGCCCGUUACUGGUCCCCGUGGCCGGUUACUGGUCCCCCGUGGCUGGUCCCUGGCCAGUUACUGGUCCUCAUGGCCGGUUACUGGUCCUCCAUGGCUGGUCUCUGGCCGGUUACUGGUCCCCA